UGGGGAAUUUUGGACAAUGGGGGAAACCCUGAUCCAGCCAUCCCGCGUGUGCGAUGAAGGCCUUCGGGUUGUAAAGCACUUUUGGCAGGAAAGAAACGUCGCGGGUUAAUACCCCGCGAAACUGACGGUACCUGCAGAAUAAGCACCGGCUAACUACGUGCCAGCAGCCGCGGUAAUACGUAGGGUGCAAGCGUUAAUCGGAAUUACUGGGCGUAAAGCGUGCGCAGGCGGUUCGGAAAGAAAGAUGUGAAAUCCCAGAGCUUAACUUUGGAACUGCAUUUUUAACUACCGGGCUAGAGUGUGUCAGAGGGAGGUGGAAUUCCGCGUGUAGCAGUGAAAUGCGUAGAUAUGCGGAGGAACACCGAUGGCGAAGGCAGCCUCCUGGGAUAACACUGACGCUCAUGCACGAAAGCGUGGGGAGCAAACAGGAUUAGAUACCCUGGUAGUCCACGCCCUAAACGAUGUCAACUAGCUGUUGGGGCCUUCGGGCCUUGGUAGCGCAGCUAACGCGUGAAGUUGACCGCCUGGGGAGUACGGUCGCAAGAUUAAAACUCAAAUGAAUU
rnacentral:rRNA from 1 species